UACGGAGGGUGCAAGCGUUAAUCGGAAAUACUGGGCGUAAAGCGCACGUAGGUGGUUUUCUAAGUCAGCUGUGAAAUCCCCGGGCUCAACCUGGGACUUGCAGUUGAAACUGGAAAGCUAGAGUAGGGUAGAGGGGUGUGGAAUUCCAGGUGUAGCGGUGAAAUGCGUAGAUAUCUGGAGGAACAUCAGUGGCGAAGGCGACACCCUGGACUCAUACUGACACUGAGGUGCGAAAGCGUGGGGAGCAAACAGG
rnacentral:rRNA from 1 species